rnacentral:lncRNA from 1 species
CCCAGAAUACAUUUUGGAAACCGAAGCCCCCGCGCUCGCGAAUGAGUCUGGCCGCCCGGUGAGUCACCGCGAGCGGGCGACAAGGAUUCCCAGCAGCUGGUAAUUAAUUGCUCUGUGGCUCGGCCCACGACGGAACCCCAGUCGGGCCUCCCGCCGCCCUGCAGCGGCGCCACCCCUGAGUCACAGCCGUCGGGCCUCCGCCGUCCGGAAGCGGCCUGCGCGCCUGGGCGCCACCAGGGGGCACUGGACUCCGACCCACAGGUCGCCCCGCUUUGAGCCAACGCUGCGCAGGGAAGUCCAGGCUGUCCCCGCUGGCAGAUAGGAACACUUCCAACCGGAGAAGGUCACGUGCUCAGGGACGCAAGGCAGUUCCCAUCUAGAACCAGCUCUUGAACCGUCUCCCGGCUUCUGUCCAGCGCUCCACGGACCCAGCAGCCUUCCGACCCCAAGGUGGAAGUGAGCUCCUUGGAGCAGAGCCUGGCUCCUGACAUCUUCCCUGUGUCCCCAGCAGCCAUCCCCAAGGCAGUUGCCCAGCUAGCACUGUGGGUUGCUGCCACAAGACAGUCUACAAAGAGGUCAGGCUGCUGACAGUGCCUCUGGGGAGCCCACCUCCCUCUCUGCCUCUGGUUGUGGGAGCAUCAACUCCAGCCCAACUGGAGGAGGAUUCAGAGCUCAGGUGUGGCCAAUCAGAGCCCGGGAUUCCCCAUGGCCACAGUGAUUGGCUGGGUGUGGCUCAUCUCUCCACCAGUGAAAACCCUGGGAAAGCAUUUCUAAGAGGAGCCUGGUGGAGGGAGGGAGGCAGGUCCCAAGGCUGCAGGCCCACCGGGCAGCAAGAGCCACGCCUGGAGGGGAGCAAACGCAUUCUCUUCUCCUCCGCUUAGGCCACUGGGAGUUGGUCCCAAUCUAGACGCGUGCCGCUGAUGCCAGGAAACUGGCAGCCUGUCUGAGCUCCUCCAGCAGUCUGUCCCUGGGCCUCCCUGGACCUCAGUGUCUUCUUUAGUAAAAACAGAUUUAUCUGAUUAGAUAAUAAAGAACAUCGUGGUUUUAUAAUUCCCCCUCCACUGCCUAACUUAUUUGCUAGGCUCUUUACACAUUGGGCGUGCCCGUAGCCCCCAGGCCUAAGGAGUAUUCUUACCCUGUCUUACCCAGAAAGGCUGAGC